UGGUUUAAAAUGCAAAAUAAGAUCAUGGUUCCUUUGAGAUCACGGUCUCAUUGUCCUGACUAAGGGGAACUUUUGGCUGCCCUUCCUCCUCUCAGAGAUGGAACUGGGGGCUUGGCCAAAGGCAGUAAAACCAGGGUCUCGUGGGACAGAAACAGCCUGCCCAGACGUGUUGCGACCUGUUUCUCUUUUCUAGAGUGUUCCGAGUUCAAUUGGCAGGUAAGAGAAGGAGAGAUUGAAGAAAGAAAGAGCAAUUUACUGGAACUCAUUACCGAACAGGCUCUCCACUAAAUGCUUUCUUUAUCUCAUCUCACUGAAGUUUCACAACAACCACAUGAGAUCUGAAGCAAUGUCUUCCAUCCCAUUUCAUCCCAGGGAGAGAAGCUAAAGUUUGGGAGUUUGAAUACGGCCACUGAGAAGAUCUUUCUGGCUCCAGAUUACAGCCUAGUGCAAUGAUACCACAUUGCCCUCCUCUGACCUAUUCAAUAAAUAUAUCCCAAGUGCCUCUGAUGAGCGGGGCAUUACACUAGGUGGAGAGGAUUCGGCAAUGAUUAAGACACAGUCUGCAGCCUCGAGAAUGUUUGGAAUCCAGUGAGGGAAACAGAAAAGUAACAGUGAGAACUAGGGGGUUGCACAGGAAGGACACCCAAUCUGGCCUUGUGUCAUCAGGGAAGGCUUCCAGGAGGAGAGAUCAUCAAAUUCGGUUAAAAGGAAAAAGGGACUCCAGGCUGAGGGUAUAACAUCUACAGGCCCAGAGGCUAGAGGGAGCCUAGCAUGUGUGAGCAAGCGUGAGAAACUCGGGGUGGCUGAAGCAUGGGAAGCAAGAUGGGGAGGCCGGUGAGGUGGGCAGAACAGAGCCCCAAGCCCUCUGUGCCACACUGAGACUCUGUCAUUUAUCCCAAGAGGAACAGGAAGAGCUGAAGCUUAACACAAAGGAGUGACUCUUCAGAAUCAUAUUUUACAAGGAUCAGACCAGCUGUGAUGGGGAUAUGGAUUGGCAGGGCAGGACCCACAAGAGGCAGGGAGGCCAUACGGCUGCGGCAGGUUCUGAAACUUGACCCUUUGGGACCUGUCCCCUUAUCUGUAAAAUGGAAAGGAAAUCACCUGUCUCUUUGGCUGCUGUGAAGAUUCAUGUGAAGCAGAAACCACUUCUGUCCUCACAAGCAUCAACUUCAGGGAAACGUGCUCGAUCGUACUGUCCUGAAAUGGCAUGAAACCUAAGGCAGCUAGUGGCUGGCUUCUGAGCAAGCAUACUAUUAGAAAAACAAACAACCAAAAUCACUCCUCUGGCCAAAAAAAAAGAAAGAUAAAAAGAGGUUCAACCACCAUCACAAGUAAGAAGGCCAAGCUGGCUGAUCUAUGAAAUCACCAGCCCAUAAAAGGAGCAAGAAGAUGAAGAAGGAGUUUUAACUAUUUUCUCAUCACUAUUUUCCAAGCAAGCCUGGUGCGGUGCUGACGAAGAGAGAUCACUUCAUUUACUUUACACUUUUCUCAUGACCCAAUUGUCUUCCAUGUUACUAGGUUAUCUAAAUAAUCACAAUUACCUCCUGUUUCCUGACUGAUUCAUGUGUUUUUCAGACAAUCAAAACCCAUAAGGACACAAAGAAAGAUCCAGGGUAUCAGAUAUGAUGUCAACACCACCAGGGCCUUAUUCAAAGGUUCUAAAAUCUUCCAGAUAAUCAGGCUUUCACUAAGGCUGGAAUGCUUCCAAAAUGGAUUUCAAUGGGGGAACAUAUUGGUGUUCUUUAACAUACAAAAUGUUGGUGUCAUCAUGGCCCACCAAAGUUCAAGUGACUCAAUCAGAGAAAGACUAGUAUGUUCUUGAAUGACAUAAUAGACUCUCUUGGAGACAGCAAAAAUAGCACACUCCACUCCCUAUCUGAAAGACACUUGAAAUUGUUGUGUAAAACAAUUGAGAAAUUAAGCAAUAGGAAAAUGGCUGGGUAACCAAUCCAGAAGAGCCUAUUUUCCACUUCUGAGCAAAGCAAUAAUGGUUCUGAA